rnacentral:rRNA from 1 species
GGUUUGAUUCUGGCUCAGAUUGAACGCUGGCGGAAGUGCUUUACAUGCAAGUCGAACGGCAGCACGGACUUCGGUCUGGUGGCGAGUGGCGAACGGGUGAGUAAUGUAUCGGAACGUGCCUAGUAGCGGGGAUAUACGCGGGCGUAGCUAAUACCGCAUACGCCCUUCGGGGAAAGCGGGGACGCCGGGCCUCGCACGAAACGGCCGAUAUCGGAUUAGCUAGUUGGUGGGGUAACGGCUCACCAAGGCGACGAUCCGUAGCUGGUUUUGGGGGACGACCAGCCACACUGGGACUGAGACACGGCCCGAACUCUACGGGAGGCAGCAGUGGGGAAUUUUGGACAAUGGGAAACCCUGAUCCAGCCAUCCCGCGUGUGCGAUGAAGGCCUUCGGGUUGUAAAGCACUUUUGGCAGAAAGAAACGGCACGGGGAUAAUGCCCCGUGCAACUGACAGUACCUGCAGAAUAAGCACCGGCCUAACUACGUGCCAGCAGCCGCGGUAAUACGUAAGUGCGAGCGUUAAUCGGAAUUACUGGGCGUAAAGCGUGCGCAGGCGGUUCAGGAAGAAAGAUGUGAAAUCCCAGAGCUUAACUUUGGAACUGCAUUUUUAACUACCGAGCUAGAGCGUGUCAGAGGAGGUGGAAUUCCGCGUGUAGCAGUGAAAUGCGUAGAUAUGCGGAGGAACACCGAUGGCGAAGGCAGCCUCCUGGGAUAACACUGACGCUCAUGCACAGCGUGGGAGCAAACAGGAUUAGAUACCCUGGUAGUCCGCCUAAACAGUGUCAACUAGCUGUUGGGGCCUUCGGGCCUUGGUAGCGCAGCUAACGCGUGAAGUGACCGCCUGGGAAAUCACAGUCGCAAGAUUAAAACUCAAAAUUGACAGGGACCCGCACAAGCGGUGGAUGAUGUGGAUAAUUCGAUGCAACGCGAAAAACCUUACCUACCCUUGACAUGUCUGGAAUCCCGAAGAGAUUUGGGAGUGCUCGCAAGAGAACCGGAACACAGGUGCUGCAUGGCUGUCGUCAGCUCGUGUCGUGAGAUGUUUAGGUUAAAUCCUGUGAGCGCAACCCAUGUCAUUAGUUGCUACGAAAGGGCACUCUAUUAGGACUGCCGGUGACGACCGGAGGAAGGUGGGGAUGACGUCAAGUCCUCAUGGCCCUUAUGGGUAGGGCUUCACACGUCAUACCCAAUGGUCGGGACAGAGGGUCGCCAACCCGCGAGGGGGAGCCAGUCCGAGGCCGAUCGUAGUCGGAUCGCCAGUCUGCAACUCGACUGCGUGAAGUCGGAAUCGCUAGUAAUCGCGGAUCAGCAUGUCGCGGUGAAUACGUUCCCGGGUCUUGUACACACCGCCCGUCACACCAUGGGAGUGGGUUUUACCAGAAGUAGUUAGCCUAACCAUGAGAGGGCGAUUACCACAUUGAUUCCGCUGACUGGGGUGAAGUCAGCCAAGGU